rnacentral:misc_RNA from 1 species
UUUUCGGCGAUAUGACGAGG